rnacentral:rRNA from 1 species
AUUGAACGCUGGCGGCAGGCUUAACACAUGCAAGUCGAGCGCGCGGCGGACGGGUGAGUAAUGUCUGGAAAACUCCCUGAUAGAGGGAGAUAACUACUGAAAAAGGGAGCUAAUCCCACAUACCAUAAGAUGUGCACAGAUGGGAUGAGAUAGUAGGUGGGGGAAUGGCUCACCUAGGCGAAGCUCCCUAUCUGGUCUGAGAGGAUGACCAGCCAAACUGGGACUGAUACACGGUCCAGACUCCUACGGGAGGAAGCAGUGGGGAAUAUUGCACAAUGGGCGCAAGCCUGAGGCAGCCAUGCCGCGUGUGUGAAGAAGGCCUUAGGGUUGUAAAGCACGUUCAGCGGGGAGGCGUUACCGGCAGAAGAAGCACCGGCUAACUCCGUGCCAGCAGCCGCGGUAAUAC